UACGAGGGGGGCGAGCGUUGUUCGGAAUUACUGGGCGUAAAGGGCGCGUAGGCGGAUAGUUUAGUCAGAGGUGAAAGCCCAGGGCUCAACCCUGGAAUUGCCUUUGAUACUGGCUAUCUUGAGUUCGGGAGAGGUGAGUGGAACUCCGAGUGUAGAGGUGAAAUUCGUAGAUAUUCGGAAGAACACCAGUGGCGAAGGCGACUCACUGGCCCGAUACUGACGCUGAGGCGCGAAAGCGUGGGGAGCAAACAGG
rnacentral:rRNA from 1 species